UGGGAAUCAGAGUUAAACAUACAGUUCACAGAGGAACAGUGGGCUGCAAUAGUCAAACAAAUGUUAAAGCCCAUGAGAGAUGCACGCUCCAAACUGAUACAGUUCAAAAUUACGAAUCGAUUAUAUUGGACACCAGUUAAAUUAUUCAGAGCUAAAAUAAGUUACUCUGAUACUUGCUGGCGAUGCAAACAAAGCUCAGGAGACAUGCUUCAUAUGUUCCUCAUGUGUCCGAAACUAAUUUCCUAUUGGCAGGAGGUCAUGGGGAAAAUUAACAGCACCCUCAACUCCAACCUAUUGUUGACACCUACACUGGCACUUCUUAACUUCUUUGAUUAUAAAGUCAAAAUAGGAACAAAAAAAAUACAGUGGUUAAAAAUAGCCCUCACAACGGCUAAACGAGUUAUAUUAAGACACUGGAAAGGUCAAAGUAUCCCUACUUAUACAGAAUGGUAUGCAGCUCUUUUAGAAACUGCUUCUUAUGAACGACUCAUCUACAAGAUAAACGGUCAGAUUGAGGCGUAUCAGAGUAUGUGGGAACCGUUCUUAAAACCAUAGAGGAAAGGCUCAAACACUAUUGGUCCAGAAUAAAAGAUAGUGUGUUUGUACUUUUUUUUUUUUUUUUUUUUUUUUCCUUUAGCUCCUUCUGCUGGCUGGGGUGGGGGGAGUACGGGAGGAUCGGGAGGGGUUCAGGGGGGAAAAUGUUAAAAACUCAAAUCCUUCUCUGUAUAACUACUUAAGGUUGUAUACUUCACAGUAGUGAUAUUGUUAACAUUGGUUUCACUGUAUGUUUUAUUGUUGAAGGAUUUAAUAAAGAUUGAGAAU